AUAGCAAUUAAAUAAAUUCGUCGUAUAAUCUUGAGGAUAUGGCUCUAGAGUUUCUACCGACCACCGUAAAUGGUCUGUCUACGCAGAAGAGAUAAGGAAUA
rnacentral:ncRNA from 2 species